rnacentral:rRNA from 1 species
CUUGGUCAUUUAGAGGAAGUAAAAGUCGUAACAAGGUCUCCGUUGGUGAACCAGCGGAGGGAUCAUUACAGAGUUACCUAACUCCAAACCCAUGUGAACUUACCUAUGUUGC